rnacentral:rRNA from 1 species
UACGGGGGGGGCAAGCGUUGCUCGGAAUUACUGGGCGUAAAGGGCUCGUAGGCGGCCAACUAAGUCAGACGUGAAAUCCCUCGGCUUAACCGGGGAACUGCAUCUGAUACUGGAUGGCUUGAGAUUGGGAGAGGGAUGCGGAAUUCCAGGUGUAGCGGUGAAAUGCGUAGAUAUCAGGAGGAACACCUGUGGUGUAGACAGCUUACUGGACCAUUUCUGACGCUGAGACACGAAAGCGUGGGUAGCAAACAGG